rnacentral:rRNA from 1 species
GACGAACGCUGGCGGCGUGCUUAACACAUGCAAGUCGAACGAUGAAGCCCAGCUUGCUGGGUGGAUUAGUGGCGAACGGGUGAGUAACACGUGAGUAACCUGCCCUGGACUCUGGGAUAACCUCGAGAAAUCGGAGCUAAUACCGGCUAGGACCUUUCAUCGCAUGCGGUCUGGCGGCAAGUUUUUCGGUUUGGGAUGGACUCGCGGCGUAUCAGCUUGUUGGUGAGGUAUUCGCUCACCAAGGCGUCGACGGGUAGCCGGCCCGAGAGGGUGAGCGGCCACACUGAGACUGAGACACGGCCCAGACUCCUACGGGAGGCAGCAGUGGGGAAUAUUGCACAAUGGGCGCAAGCCUGAUGCAGCAACGCCGCGUGCGGGAUGACGGCCUUCGGGUUGUAAACCGCUUUUAGUAGGGAAGAAGGGCUUCGGCUUGACGGUACCUGCAGAAAAAGGACCGGCUAACUACGUGCCAGCCGCCGCAGUAACAC